rnacentral:rRNA from 1 species
UGGGGAAUCUUGCACAAUGGGGGAAACCCUGAUACAGCGAUGUCGCGUGAGUGAAGAAGGCCUUUGGGUUGUAAAACUCUUUCGUCGAGGAAGAAAAUAACUAUACUCGAAUAAAAAGGUCCGGCUAACUUCGUGCCAGCAGCCGCGGUAAUACGAAGGGACCUAGCGUAGUUCGGAAUUACUGGGCUUAAAGAGCUCGUAGGUGGUUAAAAAAGUUGGUGGUGGAAUCCCAGAGCUUAACUCUGGAACUGCCAUCAAAACUUUUUGGCUAGAGUAUGAUAGAGGAAAGUAGAAUUUCUAGUGUAGAGGUGAAAUUCGUAGAUAUUAGAAAGAAUACCGAUUGCGAAGGCAACUUUCUGGAUCAUUACUGACACUGAGGUGCGAAAGCAUGGGUAGCGAAGAGG